UAACUUUUGAGCAAGAUUUUGAACUCAAAAUGCAGCUCCUGAUGGUUUCCCAAUCGCGAGGGUUCAUCACACGAUUGCGCAUCCAUGGAGAGUAAUGGUCAAGCCUAUACUCCUUGUAUACUCUACCAGGGAAUAAUAUAUUGAAGUAGUCUCAAGGCAAGAAAAGAAUUUUGUGGACCAACAUUUGGUUGCUCAACAGCAUUGGCCACAGUUAAAGAUGUGGGACUAUCCAUAGAACUUGUGUGCAGCAAUGGAAUAUUUACGCAACUCUCCAAGUUUGAGGAUCUAGAAGCCAAUAGCUGGAGCUCAGGAAUGAGGAAAACAAAAGGAGCAAAAAUACGUUGGGGCAUUCCGAGAAUUGAACUCGGGACCUCUCGCACCCUAAGCGAGAAUCAUACCACUAGACCAAAUGCCCAUGUUGAAAUCGAGUCUGUGAGACACUGCGAUAUGAUUCUGCAAUUGUUAUACCCAAGUCGAGUAGUCGGGACAAAGCAUGCUUAAGCCUGCAAAGUUUGUCUGAAGAUCGGUGGAGGUGAGCAGAGAUUUACCUAGAACGCUACACUGCACUGGGAUGUCUGGAAAAGUUGGCCUGAAAGUAUUUCAGUAUGAACACAACUAUAAGCCAAUUACAACAACUAAUUUGUCGCUUUUAAAAAAAGUGUAACUCAACA